rnacentral:tRNA from 1 species
ACAACAAUUUUUUCUUUGAAAAAGGUUUGACAAGCAAAGGGAAUUGUUAUAAUAUAUAUAACGUCGCCGAUAAAC